ACGAGUGAUUCCCAAAAAUCGAAUAUUUUCUAAAACAAAGUGAGGCUUCAGCUUAAUUCAGUGAUAAUGGAGAGAGAGUGAGGAGGCACUCUCCUCAGUCCUCACUCUGUCACUCAACAUUCACCAACCCCAGCUCCAAGUCUCCAACUCCAACUCCAACUCCAUCUCCAUCCUUGUUAAUUUGUUAUUUUCUCUCUCCUCAAUUUCUGAUGCUAAUAAUUUCAACUAACACACAAAAUGAAGCACAGGAUUGAAUCCAUUCGUCAUAAUCGUCAGAGUUCAACCAUUACCAAACAUGUUUUACUUGGAUUAAUCCUAUUUCUUGGGUUGUUUUGUCUGUAUUUUGGGUAUUUUGUAAUUCCCAAUUCUCCAACGCUUUACCAUAAUCAUUCCGUCGUUGAUAAUGGCGUCGAUCCCGUUGUCGGUAGUAUUCUUAUCAAUCAAGAUAGCUUCAAUCACAAGCUUCAUCUUCAACACCUUCAUUCUAUUCCAAUAUGUGACAUUAAAUUGUCAGAGUUGAUACCGUGCUUGGAUAGAAAUUUAAUUUACCAAUUGAGGUUAAAGGUAAAUCUUACGUUAAUGGAGCACUAUGAACGCCACUGCCCACCUCAUGGGCGACGUUACAACUGUCUUAUUCCGCCGCCAAAUGGUUACAAGAUACCUGUCAGAUGGCCUGCUAGCAGAGAUGAAGUGUGGAAAGCAAACAUACCUCACACGCACCUUGCACAAGAGAAAUCUGACCAACAUUGGAUGGUUGUGAAUGGUGAGAAGAUAAAUUUUCCUGGUGGUGGAACCCAUUUUCAUGACGGUGCUGAUAAGUACAUUAUUGCUCUCGCUAGGAUGCUUAAGUUUCCAAGUGAAAAGCUUAGCAAUGGUGGGAAUAUAAGAACCGUUCUUGAUGUGGGAUGUGGAGUGGCAAGUUUUGGUGCAUAUCUUCUUUCCCAUGAUAUUAUGGCCAUGUCAUUAGCACCUAAUGAUGUACAUGAAAAUCAAAUUCAGUUUGCACUGGAGAGAGGAAUUCCAUCUACUCUUGGUGUUUUGGGAACAAAAAGACUUCCGUACCCCAGCAGGUCUUUCGAACUGGCCCAUUGCUCUAGAUGUAGGAUUGAUUGGCUUCAGCGAGAUGGGAUUCUUUUGUUGGAGCUAGAUAGAAUACUGAGACCAGGUGGAUAUUUUGUUUACUCCUCUCCUGAAGCAUAUGCUCAAGAUUCAGAAAAUAGAAGAAUAUGGAAUUCAAUGUAUAGCCUAUUAAGGAGGAUGUGCUGGAGAGUUGUUUCAAAGAAAGACCAAAGUGUUAUAUGGGCAAAGCCACUGAGCAACAGCUGUUAUUUGAAGAGGGAACCUGGAACCAGACCUCCAUUAUGUAGUGUAGAUGAUAGUCCGGAUGAAUCUUGGAAUAUUUCGAUGAAAACAUGCAUUACUCCUUAUUCAGCAAAGAUGCACAAGGGAAAAGGGAGCGGUUUGCUUCCUUGGCCACAAAGGCUUACUGCGUCUCCACCUCGCUUGGAGGAUUUUGGCAUCAGUGUAGAGGAAUUCCAAGCUGACACUAGCACAUGGAGUUUUAGAGUGAGUGAGUAUUGGAACCUAAUGAGACCUGCUUUACAAAAGUACACACCGCGUAAUGUCAUGGACAUGAACUCCAAUCUUGGAGGAUUUUCUGCUGCUUUGAAUGAUAAAGAAGUCUGGGUCAUGAAUGUUGCCCCUAUUCAUUCUGCAUCGAAGCUGAAGAUCAUCUAUGACAGAGGCCUCAUUGGAACUGUGCAUGACUGGUGUGAAGCAUUUUCUACAUAUCCACGCACCUAUGAUCUACUGCAUGCCUGGGCGGUAUUUUCAGAUAUUUUAGAAAGGGGCUGCAGCUCGGAAGAUCUUUUGAUUGAAAUGGAUAGAAUUCUUAGACCAGAGGGCUUCGUAAUCAUCAGAGAUCAUCCUUCAGUCAUAAACUACUUACAUAAAUAUUUAAUUGCCUUGCGUUGGGAUGGAUGGGUUUUGGAGGUGGAACCGACGGUGGAUAUUUUGUCAAGUAAUGAAGAAAGGCUCCUAAUUGCACGUAAGAAGCUCUGGAGAUAUGGUGAUACGGCCAGCUGAAAGGAGCUCUAAGAAGGUGUGCUUAUGAUUGUGAAGAAUCCAUGAUCGGCCUUGUGAAAGAAAAUCAUAUCAUGGUUAGCAAUUUUGUCAAGUUACCUCAUCGUCUGUAAACUGCAAUGGUCGUAUGAGAACUACUUCUAUUUUGCGGAGAUGAACUACUUCUAUAAAACAAACCAAAGGAUACGAAAUGCAAUAAGGCGCUCUGGAUUUAGGGUACGGAAGUUUGAUGCUAAGAAUUUCUUAAAAUGUGGAGUAUCUUAAAUGGGAAUCGUUGGAACUGAUUCUAAGAAAGUUAGACAUGAUGACAAGAUAAAUAAAAUGCAGGCAUCAGUUAACAGAGAUUACUGGUAAGUGGUAAUACAAGAAAAUCCAGGUUGAACUGCAAAAUGUGACCAUCUAGAAUUCUUGUUCUUUCACAAGUUCUAAAAGAGGGUGACAGACAGGAAGGAAGACUAGGGUUGGAUAUUGGUUUGGUUAUUUUCUUCUACAACUUCCUGAAGCUGCAACCCCGACUUGAGCGAAACCAUACUUUCCAUGUACGCAAUAACUCCGUGACAUGUCCGGUCAUACUGAAAUUCAAGAUCCUUUAGCUCAUUUGAUUCAUCUUCAUCUUCAUCUUCAUCUUCAUCUUCAGCUGCUGUUGUACUAAAAACCUUUGAUAACAACCACCUUGUAGUCUCUACUUAGAGGAUCAAUCCCAAAACCCUAAUUCUCCCACUUCUGAGGUUCUGUAUUAGACGGUAGAUUGGGUUUGCUAAUCAAUGGAGGCAAGACUUUGUCACUUUGAGUUCAUUGAUGGCUGGGUUCCACAAAGCACGAUCACUAAAUCCAUACUCAUAAAGAUAAUAUAAUCCAUCACAAGGACCGCAGACAAAUGAGCUGUGUAAUGGGGAGGAACUUAGCACUUGAGUUGAGAAGUUAAAGCACGAGGGGUUUCAUCCAUAAACAACUCAAUCAACAAAAGUACGCCGUGGCCAACAUAAUAUUGAACAAGGAGACAAUUGCGCCAACUAUCGUUCUUCUUAUAAUAGUUAUUCAGAUGUUUGGAUAUGAAAUUAGGAGUUGAAAUAAUAGAAUACCAUGAUUUGCACACACUUUUGUGCCGUAACAAAUCUUUUACAGGCACCCAUGUCAGAAUCUCAAUGAUGAGACUUUCCGGUAAAUCUAUGUUU